UUAUUUGAUGCAAGUCACAUAAUUUUGCUGGCCUACACACUAGCCGCAGCCCCCAACUCCGUGGCGUUGGCGGAAAUUAAUUGGAAACUGAAGGUUUCCGAAGUGGAGUUCGACCGUAUCAACAAGCGAUUUGAAGAAGCACAAAGUAAGUGUGCAAGCCUUAGCUCUCUCAUUGAGAUUCCACGGGUGUUGUCACUAAUGUAGAUCGGCUAAAAGACAAACCGCGCAAGGCCAAGC
rnacentral:lncRNA from 1 species